GCGAGAAUAGCUCAGCUGGUAGAGCGCAACCUUGCCAAGGUUGAGGUCGCGGGUUCGAGCCCCGUUUCCCGCUC
rnacentral:tRNA from 2 species